rnacentral:rRNA from 1 species
UACGAAGGGGGGCUAGCGUUGCUCGGAAUCACUGGGCGUAAAGGGUGCGUAGGCGGGUCUUUAAGUCGGGGGUGAAAUCCUGGAGCUCAACUCCAGAACUGCCUUUGAUACUGAAGAUCUUGAGUUCGGGAGAGGGUGAGUGGAACUGCGAAGUGUAGAGGUGAAAGUUCGUAGAUAUUCGCAAGAACACCAGUGGCGAAGGCGGCUCACUGGCCCGAUACUGACGCUGAGGCACGAAAGCGUGGGGAGCAAACAGG